CUUUCAAAGCCACACAAAAAGUAAUAGCAUUUUCGACGAUUAGCUGCGAUAGUCAGACUGGUUCUCGUAUUGUCAAGAAUAUGCUCUGAUUUGCCGUUCCUUCGCAUCUGUCUACUAUCAUAUCGUCUCCUAGAGGAACUAAUGAUUCGCCCUCAUACGGUACAGGUUCUAACUGAUUUGGGUGCAACAUGAGAAAUGUUAUGAUAAACAAUUUGGUAAAGGGAAAGUAGAAAACAUCCCAACAAUGAACUAAGUUGAGAAGUUAAAUUUCAUACUGACACAAUAAAGAGUAGUUUGAAC